CGAUUCCGGCCCCCUGCACAACCUCUCUCCUAUCCUUAGCUCUUCCCCGGCGGAUUUUAGGAGUCCCUUCUCCCCUGGGACCCUUCUCUUCCCUUUCCAAGUCCGCUCCUCCCAUUAUCCGGAAGCGAGGGGGGAUGACGCUCCCCCUUGACCUCUUCCUCCGGGAGCCGGGACCAAAAUAACCCGGCGGGAGGGGACACCUCGCAGGGAAUCUCGGAGGGCUGCCGGGACGAAGAGGCUACAUCUACACAGGGCGGUGUAGGGGAAGCCGGUCUCUUUGACCUCCGUGCCUGGGAGUAGGGGCCGAGAGCCAGAUUAUUGCGAUGGCCGGGAUCCCGGCGAGGACUGCCGCGCUCCGGUUCCUUGGUCAAAUUUGUAAAUUUCGCUAACACGAAAAGUUAAACAAGACACAGAGGAGAAACUGCACUUAGGGGUUUCUAACGAAUUACCUUUACUAGCAAGAAUAAAACUGCAAGAA